GAAUGCAGAGCUGGGGAAACACCCAAGACUUAUGAUAAGAUAAGUAGAAUAGUAGAUGAUAUUGUUAGUCAGAAUAUAUUUGAAAAUUUUGAUCAGCAAAAGCAGUUGCUAAAUUUGCCCGGACGGGCCUCAGAAUGUUUAAACGGUGCGCAGGUAGAAAUAGACCUCGUGACACCGGUCGGCAGAUUAAAGCGUUGCAUAGCAGAAUGGGAUAAAAUUGGGGCAUAGGACUGCAGGGCAACAUAGCUAGGCAGAUGCAGCAGGAGGGUUUGGCACAGAGUGCCAAAAAUGUUGAUAUUGCAAAAAGGAUGGCCAAGUAUAUUAUGUCAAAAAGUGAAAGCACAUCCAAGAAAUACUAUAGUGCAUUUAAAAAAUGGUGCGAUUUUUGUGAAUCAAAUAAGUGUGUCGAUGCCCGGAAGGCCAAUUUGUGUCCAAUGUUGAGUUGAUGGAUGAUUCUGCCUCUUUUCACAAAGUUUCUGCAGCUGUUACGCUAUAAAGUGGGCCCAUUCAUUGAUCAAUGAAGAAGAUCCUACAGACAAUGGUUUCGUUAGGAACUUGUUGGAAUCGUCUAAAAGAACUGCUAAGGAGCCAGUGAAGAAGAAGGACAUUGUCACUUCGGAGCACGCUAUCGGCCAAACAGAUAUAUUUGUAGAGUUGUUGAUUUAAGUAUAGAUAUUAGGGUGAAGUAUAGUAUAAACUGAGUAAUGGAAAGACUUUUUACUUUACAGCGUUUCGUAGUAUAGCUGGAAAGUAUUGUCUUUACUGUAUGGUCAGUUUAACCACAGUUGUCCAAUAGGUGAUUGGGUUUUGUUAUGAGGGGUCGAGUUAUCCAAUAGAAAGGAUUAACGGUAUAGACCGUGAUUUUGGAGACGAAAAUUGAUUCAGUUCUAGCAUGCACAAUUGUCUGGACGUUUUGGUUUUCUUUAAUUUUCAAAAUUGAUUUUAUUGAAAAAUGUAUGUUAUAUUGAUAGCUUUACAUAUUUUUGGGGUUUUCUGUUUUUGAUAAAUACAUGUAGUAUAAUUGUUUAAGAAAGGAUGCCUGAGAUAUAUUAGAAUAAUAUUGAUUAGAAGUGUUAAUAAGAAUAAAGGGGUGCUGUUUUCCAGAGCAUUUUUACACCAUACUAUGUGUGUGAAUUUUUAACUCUGGUUUUUACUCUGGCCUAUUGUAUAAGAAAAGCUUUCAUUUGAAUAUAUAUGCUUUUCAAGAUACAUGUAUCAGUGAUUUGUGUACAAGAAAAUUUGGACUAAACCUACUUCGUCAUAUUGUCAAGGAGCAUGUUUCAUGAUUUGUAUGCAACUGUGAAACUCUCAUAAAUAUAGAUUUAUUAUCUAUACAUAUUCUGAUAUUGACAAACAUGCUUGCUGAAUAAAAUGUCCUUAGCAUUUGUGCAUGCUAUCGGCCAAACAGA